AGGCCCUUCGGGACCUUUACCUAGUGGCGAACGGGUGAGUAACGCGUGAGGAACCUGCCUUUCAGUGGGGGACAACAGUUGGAAACGACUGCUAAUACCGCAUGAAGCUUUUGGGAGACAUCUCCUGGAAGCCAAAGCUUAAUGUGCUGAAAGAUGGCCUCGCGUCUGAUUAGCUAGUUGGUGGGGUAACGGCCCACCAAGGCGACGAUCAGUAGCCGGUCUGAGAGGAUGAACGGCCACAUUGGGACUGAGAUACGGCCCAGACUCCUACGGGAGGCAGCAGUGGGGAAUAUUGGGCAAUGGGCGAAAGCCUGACCCAGCAACGCCGCGUGAAGGAAGAAGGCCUUCGGGUUGUAAACUUCUUUUACCAGGGACGAAGGGCGUGACGGUACCUGGAGAAAAAGCAACGGCUAACUACGUGCCAGCAGCCGCGGUAAUACGUAGGUUGCAAGCGUUGUCCGGAUUUACUGGGUGUAAGGGGCGUGUAGGCGGAGAUGCAAGUUAGGAGUGAAAUCUAUGGGCUCAACCCAUAAACUGCUUCUAAAACUGUAUCCCUUGAGUAUCGGAGAGGCAAGCGGAAUUCCUAGUGUAGCGGUGAAAUGCGUAGAUAUUAGGAGGAACACCAGUGGCGAAGGCGGCUUGCUGGACGACAACUGACGCUGAGGCGCGAAAGCGUGGGGAGCAAACAGGAUUAGAUACCCUGGUAGUCCACGCUGUAAACGAUGAAUACUAGGUGUGGGGGGACUGACCCCCUCCGUACCGCAGUUAACACAAUAAGUAUUCCACCUGGGGAG
rnacentral:rRNA from 1 species